UUGGCGGUCAGACGGCUUGAGGGAGAGACGAAACGCACUCUGAUGUGCGAAAGCAACGGCACUCCCGGGAAGGUCUGAGAAAGGCGUCCGUUGCGGUCACACAUUCGCAACGUUUCCUCGUGAAGGGGAUCGUCCCCGUGGACGAUGCACUGUACCGGAAAUUUGCCCGCGCCGGCUCCAACUCCGGGACAAGAAGCCGGUCCGGUCGCGCGCGAUCGGAAAGGUGGAUCCCAUUUCGGGGCUCUAGGCGAGCGCGUUUGGAUCACAGUGCAGACGCAGCGCUUUGAGUGCGAUUGCCGUGAAACCCAAUUCAGACUACUCGACGGCCAA
rnacentral:RNase_P_RNA from 1 species